rnacentral:rRNA from 1 species
AGCAACUAUACGGUGAAACUGCGAAUGGCUCAUUAAAUCAGUUAUCGUUUAUUUGAUAGUACCUUACUACAUGGAUAACCGUGGUAAUUCUAGAGCUAAUACAUGCUAAAAACCCCGACUCCGGGAGGGGUGUAUUUAUUAGAUAAAAAACCAAUGCCCUUCGGGGCUCUCUGGUGAUUCAUAAUAACUCAACGAAUCGCAUGGCCUUGCGCCGGCGAUGGUUCAUUCAAAUUUCUGCCCUAUCAACUUUCGAUUGUAGGAUAGAGGCCUACAAUGGUAUCAACGGGUAACGGGGAAUUAGGGUUCGAUUCCGGAGAGGGAGCCUGAGAAACGGCUACCACAUCCAAGGAAGGCAGCAGGCGCGCAAAUUACCCAAUCCCGACACGGGGAGGUAGUGACAAUAAAUACUGAUACAGGGCUCUUUUGGGUCUUGUAAUUGGAAUGAGUACAAUCUAAAUCCCUUAACGAGGAACAAUUGGAGGGCAAGUCUGGUGCCAGCAGCCGCGGUAAUUCCAGCUCCAAUAGCGUAUAUUAAAGUUGUUGCAGUUAAAAAGCUCGUAGUUGAACCUUGGGCCUGGCUGGCCGGUCCGCCUCACCGCGUGCACUGGUUCGGCCGGGCCUUUCCUUCUGGGGAACCGCAUGCCCUUCACUGGGCGUGCCGGGGAACCAGGACUUUUACUUUGAAAAAAUUAGAGUGUUCAAAGCAGGCCUUCGCUCGAAUACAUUAGCAUGGAAUAAUAGAAUAGGACGUGCGGUUCUAUUUUGUUGGUUUCUAGGACCGCCGUAAUGAUUAAUAGGGAUAGUCGGGGCCAUCCGUAUUCAAUUGUCAGAGGUGAAAUUCUUGGAUUUAUUGAAGACGAACUACUGCGAAAGCAUUUGGCAAGGAUGUUUUCAUUAAUCAGUGAACGAAAGUUAGGGGAUCGAAGACGAUCAGAUACCGUCGUAGUCUUAACCAUAAACUAUGCCGACUAGGGAUCGGACGGUGUUAUUAUUUUGACCCGUUCGGCACCUUACGAGAAAUCAAAGUCUUUGGGUUCUGGG